UGGAUCACUGAUGCCUCUUCGGUGCAUUAUGAGUCGUGGACAAUGAAUACAUGUCUGCGGCUCUGAGGUCCAG
ensembl:snoRNA